rnacentral:rRNA from 1 species
UACGUAGGGGGCAAGCGUUGUCCGGAUUUACUGGGCGUAAAGCGCGCGUAGGCGGAACGUUAAGUCCGGUCUGAAAGCCCCCGGCUCCAACCGGGGAGGGUGGCUGGAAACUGGCGUUCUUGAGGGCGAGAGAGGAGGGUGGAAUUCCUGGUGUAGCGGUGAAAUGCGUAGAGAUCAGGAGGAACACCCGUGGCGAAGGCGGCCCUCUGGCUCGACCCUGACGCUGAGGCGCGAAAGCGUGGGGAGCGAACGGG